AACCUGUGGCUUUCGGAGCUAACGCGUUAAGUAGACCGCCUGGGGAGUACGGUCGCAAGAUUAAAACUCAAAUGAAUUGACGGGGGCCCGCACAAGCGGUGGAGCAUGUGGUUUAAUUCGAUGCAACGCGAAGAACCUUACCUACUCUUGACAUCCACAGAAUUCGCUAGAGAUAGCUUAGUGCCUUCGGGAACUGUGAGACAGGUGCUGCAUGGCUGUCGUCAGCUCGUGUUGUGAAAUGUUGGGUUAAGUCCCGCAACGAGCGCAACCCUUAUCCUUGUUUGCCAGCGAGUAAUGUCGGGAACUCCAGGGAGACUGCCGGUGAUAAACCGGAGGAAGGUGGGGACGACGUCAAGUCAUCAUGGCCCUUACGAGUAGGGCUACACACGUGCUACAAUGGCAUAUACAGAGGGCAGCGAGGCCGCGAGGUGGAGCGAAUCCCAGAAAGUAUGUCGUAGUCCGGAUUGGAGUCUGCAACUCGACUCCAUGAAGUCGGAAUCGCUAGUAAUCGUAGAUCAGAAUGCUACGGUGAAUACGUUCCCGGGCCUUGUACACACCGCCCGUCACACCAUGGGAGUGGGCUGCACCAGAAGUAGAUAGCUUAACCUUCGGGAGGGCGUUUACCACGGUGUGUUCA
rnacentral:rRNA from 1 species